GCCUAACGGCUGAACCAGCAACUUGGGGGAAUGUAACCAUAUGUAGAAAUACAUAUGUGUGUCGACUACGUCGUAUAAAGUUCUAGAUAGAUUACUGAUAAUGACAAUUAUCUAUCUAUAUGUCUUGACCAAAUCUCGUGCCAGCAGUCGCGGCAAUACGAGGAAGACUAGUGUUAUUCAUCUUUAUUAGGUUUAAAGGGUACCUAGACGGUCUAUCAAGCCCCCCUAAAGGGAACUGAUAAACUAGAGUUUUAUGUGAGAGGUAUAUAUUAGUACUAUUGGUGUAGAGAUGAAAUUUUUUGAUACUUAUAGGACGUAUAACAGCAAAAGCAAACCUUUAUGUAUAAACUGACGUUGAGGGACGAAGGCUUGGGUAGCGAAUAGGAUUAGAUACCCUAGUAGUCCAGGCAGAGAAUUAUGAAUGUUAUAGAUAGGCUGGUUAGCUUGUGUAUAAAUGAAAGUGUAAGCAUUCCACCUCAAGAGUAAUGCGGCAACGCAGGAACUGAAAUCAUUAGACCGUUUCUGAAACCAGUAGUGAAGUAUGUUAUUUAAUUCGAUAGCCCUCGAAAAACCUUACCACAAUUUGAAUAUUAUUUAUUUAAAUAAUACAAGUGUUGCACGGCUGUCUUCAGUUAAUGUCGUGAGAUUCUGGUUAGAUCCAUUUAAUUAACGUAAACCCUUGCUUUAUUUGUUUUUAUAAAGUAGUUCACCGCUAUAUUGGAUGUGUUAAUAGGGACUAAGACAAGUCAUCAUGACCUUAAUAUUGUGGGCUAUAGACGUGCCACAUAUGCCUUUACAAAGAGAGGCGAAAAUGCGAAUUUGAGCUA
rnacentral:rRNA from 1 species